CCUACGGGUGGCAGCAGUCGAGAAUCAUUCACAAUGGGGGAAACCCUGAUGGUGCGACGCCGCGUGGGGGAAUGAAGGUCUUCGGAUUGUAAACCCCUGUCAUGUGGGAGCAAAUUAAAAAGAUAGUACCACAAGAGGAAGAGACGGCUAACUCUGUGCCAGCAGCCGCGGUAAUACAGAGGUCUCAAGCGUUGUUCGGAAUCACUGGGCGUAAAGCGUGCGUAGGCUGUUUCGUAAGUCGUGGGUGAAAGGCGCGGGCUCAACCCGCGGACGGCACAUGAUACUGCGAGACUAGAGUAAGGGAGGGGGAACCGGAAUUCUCGGUGUAGCAGUGAAAUGCGUAGAUAUCGAGAGGAACACUCGUGGCGAAGGCGGGUUCCUGGACAUUAACUGACGCUGAGGCACGAAGGCCAGGGGAGCGAAAGGGAUUAGAUACCCUAGUAGUC
rnacentral:rRNA from 1 species